rnacentral:sRNA from 1 species
AUGGGGAUGGGGCGUUGUCAGAAGCAGAAGCUCAGGCCCUCCUCAGUGGGGACACACAGACAGACGCCACCUCUUUCUACGACCGCGUCUGGGCCGCCAUCAGGGACAAGUACCGGUCCGAGGCACUGCCCACCGACCUUCCAGCACCUUCUGCCCCUGACUUGACGGAGCCCAAGGAGGAGCAGCCGCCAGUGCCCUCGUCGCCCACAGAGGAGGAGGAGGAGGAGGAGGAGGAGGAAGAAGAGGAGGCUGAAGAAGAGGAGGAGGAGGAGGAUUCCGAGGUGCAGGGGGAGCAGCCCAAGCCGGCCAGCCCUGCUGAGGAAGACAAAAUGCCGCCCUACGACGAGCAGACACAGGCCUUCAUCGAUGGUGAGGGUGGGCGGGGGCCAGGCUCCUCGGGUGGGCCCAGCGUUUCCUGCCGUGGUGGCACAGGUCGAGGAAAGAUCCUGAACUUAGACCCUGCUCUGACUCGGCCAGCACAAGCCCCAGUAUCUUGGGGAGUCCAGGAAGGGGGCCUAGGGUAAGCCAGUCCCACCCUCGCCAGCCCCAAGGGGCCCUUCUGCCUCCCCAAGGGCCGCAGCUUGUUUGUGUCACUCCU